CUAUAUCUUUAAUUAAAUUAAUUAUUAAAAGAAAUGAAUUUAAAUUCAUUAAAGAAUUUAUUAUACUUUAUAAAUACACAAAGCAUAUUUAACAUAUGAAUAUAAAACUUAUAAAUAUGCAUAUUAUAAGUUUAAUUUAUUGUAUUUAAAUUUCGUAUUUUCCUGCAUUCGUCAUAGCAUGUUCAUUCGUUGCAGCAGAUUUAACGAGAAAAACAACUCGCUAUAAUAUUCAUUGUAACAUCGUUCGUUAUAAAAUUCUCCACUCUGAUUUAUCCAUCAUAAAACAAACACUAAACUUUAUUUAAUACUUUAUUCAAACCGUUAAAUUUCCAAGCCAUUGCAACAAUAUUAUAUUACAAAACGAUUGCUUAAUAACUUCCUCUUCCUCUUUCUCUUAUGAAAAGCCAUUCACGAUUCACACAUCCUAAGCUUCGAUUCCAAGUAAUUUCUCUAAUUAUACUGAGAAUGCUGGUUACAUAUUAUUCAUCAAAGCGUGAAAGCAAUCGACGUUUGAAGCACAUAGGAAAGUGUACAUACAAGAUCAUCUCGUAUCUCUCAAAAUGAAAAUUCUAAUUAAUCCAUCGUCGCAUACCGGAAACCUUCCAAAAGUUAGAUAUCGCGUUUAAGUUUCAAGUAGAACAGUGAAAUUCGACUCCGUGGCGUGGAAUAAACGUAUCCUAGUCGGUGUUUCCGCUUCCGCCGCGUCGGCUCGAGUGUUAACGGGCGGCACGUUCAUCAUCAAUAACAAGCCCCAGGCAAGUGAGCCGGUCUCCUCCCUGCAUACUAAUACCGUGGUGAAACGUCAUCGCCUUGAACGCGCGAGUUCGUCAAUUGUGGAACGUCUCACAGCUCGAUUUCACUGUGGCGAACGAAACGAACCGAGCGACAAACCGGGAACUUCCCGUUGAUUUUCUUCCGAAACGACGACGUGACGCUCUGCUAAUUUUCAGCUAUAGUUGUCGAUCUGUGCUAAUUUUGAUGAAUUGUUAUGUCAUUGUGUUGAUGUUGACAUCGAUUUUUUAGAGGGAAUGUUAGUGUUUCGGAAAUUCAUUUAUUACGAAUUCAAAAUAAAAAAUCUGUCGGUAAUAACGGAAUUUAUAAAUAUUACCAUGUGAUUAGAUAGAAGAGGUGUUUGUGAUUUCAAGUUCGUGAUUAAUGAAGGAUAUCUGGACGUGUUUUUUAGAUUUAUAAUUAAUAUCGAAGACAAAUUAAUAAUGAAAUGGUUUUUAAUAUAGUAGUAUACAUAGUAAAUUGAUCUUUGAAAGCAAGUAAAAAGAUGUUUUGAAAUUAUGUAUUAAAACACAAAGAUCCAAAAUGAUUUAUUUUGAUAUAAUUUCUUUUUGAUUUUGUUUAAAUAUUAAUGUGCAUGCAAAAAUAAAUAAUUAGUAUAAAAUUAUAAAUUAUAGUUCAUUAUUUAUUAUUUUAUAAUUUAAUUCUAAAUGAAAUCUUAGCUAAUUUUUUGAUUAUUUACUAUUUUUUAAAAACUUAAUAAAUAAAAUCUCAAUUGACAAUUCUUUAUACUAACUUUUAUGUUUAUUUUAAUCUUUAGAAUCAAUUUUUAUCAAAUAACUGAAUAAAAAUAAUACUUUAAAUACUAAUACUAAUAUUUUCUACAAUAGUUCAUAUAAGUAUUUUGAAAUGAAUAUUUCAUUAAAAUAUGAAAUUAAUAAGAAACUAGUAUAAUAUUUAUUUUUUUAUAAUAAUUACUUCUAGAAAUAUUUUAAGCUUUAUUAUUAGUAUUAUUAAAUUUUUCUCAGAUCAGUUUGUAUGAUAUCAUGUUUUUUGUUUAUACAAAAUUGAUAAAUGCAUACAGAAUCAAAAAACAAUUGAUUAUAACGCUCUUAGCAAACCGUAAAAAAAAAAAAAGGAAAUAAAUCUCUUAACUUUUUCCAUAGUCGAUACACUGUAAAACGUUUCGAACAAAUUAACGUGACUAUCCCCCGACGGAUUAAUCGGUCGACUGGUGACACGAGUGGAAACCGAUAAAUUCGAGAUAAUCGUUUGUAAUUUGAAACCUUUACUCGAUGAAUCGUAAAACAGCGGACAAAUUGUUUCUUUUUUUCAUUUUUUCCUCUUUUUUCUUUUCUUUUCUUUUUUUUUUUUACCAUCACGGUUCAUACGUUGAGCGAAAAAUUUUGAAUUGCGAAUGAUUCGAUGCAAAUUCGUGUUUACCAUUGUGUCGUGCUUCGAUUACAGCUUGAAGAGAUGUCGAAUAACAAUCGUCAAGCUUCUAAACAAGUGGUUUUCAUAGAAACUAGUAAUCGUUUCUUUCAAAAAAGACUGGAAAAUUCAUUCCAGUUUCGCGCCUAUUUAUUUCAUAUAUUGUCGAUAUCGCAAAAAAUAUUAAUAUUAAUAAAUUAUAGCAAUAUAGCAAAGUCGUAAUUUAAAUUAAAAAACAUUAAUAUCAGAAAAUAUCUGAUAUUAAAUAAAAUAUGUAUUUUAAAUAAAAUACAUAUUUAAAACUGUACAUUCUACAUUUGCAUUUAAGUUUCAAACUUUUAAUUUAAAACUCUUUUUUGAAUGUAGAUUUGUGUUAAACUAUUGGUUAACAUUAGAUACCUUGUUAUAUUUGAUUGUAAUAUUAAUAUUAUAUGUAUAAUAUUAAGUAAGAUAAAGAAAUCUCUCCAUAUAUGGUAGUUGAGGAUUAGUGAAAGGAUGAAUUUACAUAUAAAUUAUGAUAUUAUUAUUAUAAAUUGAAAAUAAUUUUAACUAUAUAAUAUUUAAUCUAUGAUUCAUCAAUGAUAGAAAAAGAUUAUGAUGAAUACAUAUAUUUCAAAAAGAAAAAUCAAAAUUAUAGAGGAAAAAUAUAAUGUUGUGAUUCCCUUUGAUAGAGGAUCUUUUCGUAAUUUAUAGUAGAGAUAUCUAGCAACAAAUUAUGAAAUUUAUAUUUUUUUAUUCUUCAUUUAAAUAUAUUCAUGUUAAAUGGAAUAUAGUUGCUAUAUUAUAACUACAAGAUGAAAGUUUUUCAUGCAGAAAUAUUUAUCACAAAUUAGGAAAGUUAAAGUGCUGUGUGUUGGAAUAUAUUGUAUUUGAUAAAAAACAUUUAUAUCAUUUACAAUUUAUAUUAUAUUUUAUUAAUUUUUUCUAUUAUUAAUUUUUUUUAUUAAGUUUUUGAGAUUAAUGAAUAUUCAUAAAAUGAUAUAAAUAAAUAAAUAAUAUAUAAUAGAUAAAUAAAUAUAUAAAUAGAUGUUAGAAAAUAGUAGUAGAAUCAGAAUCAUAACAUAUUAAUUAUCCUAGGAAAUUCUGAGAAUUGUUGAUGAUUUCUUUUUCGAUUUCUCUCGUUUUACUAAAUCAAAAAACAAGAAAAAAAAACAUUUCUUCAUAUAAGUGAGAUAGAAAAUAGUAUUUUAUUUCAAAAGUUAUUUCUUUCAAGUUUUUAAAGAUAUAAAUGAUAUGGAUUAAAAAUAUUAAAAUUUGAAAUUCUGGAAAUUACGAGAAUUGAUAACUAAUUAAAAACUCAUGCAAAAAUAUUAUUUUUUAACAAAAUGUCAUAAAAUCCUUCAAUUCUUCGAUUCUCCGAUUGCAAUAUACAAAACUCGUGAAAGAUGGCGCGAUAAUCAUGAAAAUGGGACCGCGGUUCCAAACAGUUUUUUCGAAUCUAAACAAGAAAUCAGCGAACAUUAUAAUUUUUAAGAAUGCAGCUUUUCUUCUAUGAAAAAGAUGGCGCGAGGUUGCUCCUCAUCUAUUUUUUCCUUUACCAUUCAAAUUUCCAGACUGGGCAGGCUUUGUUAAAUUUCACGAACUCUCUACUUCCUCUUUAUAUCAGGUUCGAGCAAUAGUACCCUUUGUUCACCGAGCGUGCAUCGUUCCAACGAACUCGGCUUUUUCUGGAAAUUCACUGGAUAAUUAUUAUCGAACUUCUGUUCUUUGACGUAGAAGCCUCGAGAAAAGUUUUACUUCAUAAAACCUUGUCUUCUAACGACAGAUAAUACCACUUUGUUCCUUGGAAUGAAUUGAAGCGGUAAUCCAUACGAAUUGUGUGAUUUAUGGUUUAUAAAAGAGACAAAUACGCGAAUAAACACGCGAGAGGUCUCAUUCAAGUCGAGUGUGCCAAAGGUAAAACAGUCAUCACGUAAUAAAUAACAAUGGAAGAGGAUUAGCGUACCAUCCGAGUAGGGAAAAAAGGUUCGUAUUUUUGAAAGAAAUUUUUGAAAAAAAUAAGUACUACUUCUUUUUUUCAUUAAAAUUUUCAUCAUUACAUUUACAAUCGAAAGAUAAAUAAUUAAACAAAUAUGGUGAAGUCAUACAUGUAUCAAAAAUGUUCUUAUACGUGUAAAGAAAACUAUCAAGAUGAUAACUCAAAUGAAGCUGAAUCAUUUAUUUUUAAAUUAAUGAAUCUUGAUGAACUAGACGAAGAUAUUUACAUGUUUUACAAACAUAAGUAAAGAAAGAAAUAAGUGAAAGUAGAAAAACUAUCAAAUUAAACUUGCAUGGUUAGUCCAAUUUGAUACUGAUAUUUUUGAAUGUAUGUAUUGUUGAUGUAUUUUUGAAUGUAUAAAGUUUAUAUGAAUUUCAUUAUAUUCAAAUAAGUUAAGAAAUUUAUCACUUGCAUAAAAUAAAUUAAAAUUGAUUUUUGUUGAUCUUGAAUCAUAGAUCAUUAUACAUAUUUCAUUGAUCUAUUUUAAAUAUCUCAUCUCUACACCAGUCUUAUAAUGGUUGAAGGAAGUUUAACGACAACAAAUUUAAAAUAUUUUUGACAAAUACGUAAAUAAAAUAUAAAAAUUGAUAACCAAUGAAAAGAAAUAGAGGAAGAGGGGGAAAUCGAAACGGAUCAUAGAUAGAAUCGAUCGAUUAAUUCAACCUGAAGAAGUCGAUGUCCAGGUGUCCCAUUAAUUGACAUAUCGGCUGACACUCCAUUAAAGGUUAAAAAGCGAGGUUCGCGCGAAUCCUGCUCUUGCCAGCUUCCGUAUUUUCACGCGCAAACACGAUUCGCUAUUCAAUUUCAAUCCGAUUAUUUAUUUAGAUUAUUCAUUUGCUUGGCCGACCGGCCAUGCACGCGACAGAACCCCGCCUCUGAACCGUCGAAUAAUAGAAAAUCUGAAUAUUCAGAGAUCGAAAUUUGGUUAGCCCAAGCUUCGGCUAAUGCAUGAGCUCCUACUAUUCGAAUGCUUUCAGGAAGUUCCGACGACCAUCGGUUACGAAUCAAUGAAUCACAGAAUUUCAACGCUUCCGCUCUCUCUACCUUUGCAUUUUAUUCGAUUGAUAACUGUACGAGAGCAGAAAUAUUUUUCUAAGAUACUAAUUGGAUGUCUAGUUGGAUUUCUUCAUCAUAAAUUAAUCUCAAUGAAUCAAAGUUAAUAUUCCAGUUGAAAAAAUAUUGUUAUCGAAAAUUAUAUUUUAUAAUUUAUUAAUACAAGUUAUUAAUACAAAAUUUUAUAGAUAUUUUAAUUGAUUUAAAUCGAUUCAGAUUAAAUGAGUAAGAGUAGAGACAUAGAUGAUAUUUAAUUAUGAUAUUUAAUUAUGUUACAUAUAUCUUCUUUUUAAUUAAUUAAUUGUCAAAUAUUACACUAAUGACAUAUAAUCUCUCAACAGUUGGUCUAAAGAAAUUGCUAUAAAUAUAAAACUGCAGCUUAGAGGCGUGUUGUAUCAAAUAUAAUAAUGGAAGCCUAAUGUAAGCAAGAUUUGUUUAAUCCAAUCUGAUAACUAUAUCAGUUACUGCGAAUUCGAGCAAUAUUUAAUAUCAUUAAAUGACACAUUAAAGAACACAUAACAUAGGGAAAAAGAAAAUUUACACCACGAUUUUGAUGCAAGCAAUUCAAAUUAAAUUUAUUAAGCAUAAAAAUGUUGAUAAUAUGACAUUGUUGAACGUAAUUCAAUUAUGGACAAAUAAUUCGUGCACUGUAUGAACUGUAACUAAUCAGGCGUCUGCAUCGGACAUAAUAGUACUCAAUCAAAAAUAGCCUGCAAAUAUCUCUUAAUGAAACCAAUUCCAUCGACAUAAUCGCCAAAAAAUUCGACAUCAACUCCACCUCCGUUGCGUUCCACAUCCGCAACAAGAAAGAAGCUAAUGGCACAUUGGAAAUCAGACGAAUUAUUUUCGAAUGAUAUAGCCUUGAUGCCGCAGAAAAAUGCACUAAAAUCCUAUUAUGGUAAUGCGACCGCAUGGAAUGGUCCAUACCAGUUGAAGAUUUUUAUCAUUCGCAGUCCAUCGUCGCGCGAUCUUUAUUCCAUUUCAUUUUUCAAUCACUUGCAAAUUUUUAUGACGAGAAAAACUUUAAUUUUCCCUUUCCCUUGUGAGAAUUUCACCGAGAAUUUCAACACGAUGUUUGGUCGCUUGGUGUGUGCCAACCGUGGUGAAACAUUUAAUAAGAAGGACUGGAACAUUUUAUGUAAAUACACAAAUAUAAAUAAAAAUCUAAAGA